AUAAGAGGUCCCUGACGGAGAUUGACUCUGGAUGCCGUUAAAUGCACUGUUGGUCGUCCCCUCAAGUGAAAAGGCUUCCCGCCCCUAAUUGCCCCAAGUUGCUGUUCGAUCAAACCCUAAUUGUGCUUGUUGCUUCUACUGCAAUCAUCAAAUUCACCCAGACCCCUCAAAAUUUCUGCAAUCGAGAGUGUCGCCCGUAAUCUUCCGAAGUUGCAAUCGUGGUUCUUGGUCGUUUUCCGGUGAGCAGCACCUGGGAUCAACCGCUGCGGAAGUUGGCUCGAGCGCUCGAAGGCUGUUCUACUGCUUUGCACAUGGGUGCGAGUGAAUGGACCUAAUGCAGCUCCGGUGCAUUAAGUUCCUUAAAUCAAAUGCAAGUGGAUUUCUUGGUUCUAGAAUAAAAUGGAACUUCACCAAGUUCCUGGUCAACAAGGAAGGGCAAGUCAUCAAGCGCUAUGGUCCAACUACCAGCCCAUUAGCUAUUGAGGCGGACAUAAAGAAAGCAUUAGGAGAGGGAUGAAGCACAUGAUUUUGCCAGAACAGAGCUUGAGUAAAAGAUGUGUAUCAAGCGACAAAGUGUGCAAGAGAGUUGUAAUUGCUGCUAGUUUGGUCAAACUCUUGCCUUGUUUUGUUUUGGUGUGGGGAUAUACCAGCUUGUCGCGGAGCUUUCGUACUCCGCGGUGUCUGUAUUAUAUGCAUAUCUCGUCUUGUCAGUCUUGGGAUGAUGAGUAGAAAGGCCUUUGUAUGAUUCUGUUUUCAAUUGAACACUGCGGAAUGGACUUAGGAUUUUGUCAGAAAUAAUGCUCUUGUUCAUAAAAUCAUCAGCAAGAGGAAACAGAAAAGAUCAAGUUUUUGUGCGUA